rnacentral:rRNA from 1 species
AGUGAACGCUGGCGGUAGGCCUAGCACAUGCAAGUCGAACGGCAGCACAGUAAGAGCUUGCUCUUACGGGUGGCGAGUGGCGGACGGGUGAGGAAUACAUCUGAAUCUACUUUUUCGUGGGGGAUAACGUAGGGAAACUUACGCUAAUACCGCAUACGACCUACGGGUGAAAGCAGGGGAUCUUCGGACCUUGCGCGAUUGAAUGAGCCGAUGUCGGAUUAGCUAGUUGGCGGGGUAAAGGCCCACCAAGGCGACGAUCCGUAGCUGGUCUGAGAGGAUGAUCAGCCACACUGGAACUGAGACACGGUCCAGACUCCUACGGGGGGCAGCAGUGGGGAAUAUUGGACAAUGGGCGCAAGCCUGAUCCAGCCAUACCGCGUGGGUGAAGAAGGCCUUCGGGUUGUAAAGCCCUUUUGUUGGGAAAGAAAAGCAGCAGGUUAAUACCCCGCUGUUCUGACGGUACCCAAAGAAUAAGCACCGGCUAACUUCGUG